AGUGAACGCUGGCGGCAGGCCUAACACAUGCAAGUCGAACGAGUGGCGGACGGGUGAGGAAUACAUCGGAAUCUACUCUGUGGUGGGGGAUAACGUAGGGAAACUUACGCUAAUACCGCAUACGAUUGAAUGAGCCGAGGUAGGAUUAGCGAGUUGGCGGGGUAAAGGCCCACCAAGGCGACGAUCCUUAGCUGGUCUGAGAGGAUGAUCAGCCACACUGGAACUGAGACACGGUCCAGACUCCUACGUGAGGCAGCAGUGGGGAAUAUUGGACAAUGGGCGCAAGCCUGAUGCAGCCAUGCCGCGUGGGUGAAGAAGGCCUUCGGGUUGUAAAGCUCUUUUAUUGGGGAAGCGGUACCCAAAGAAUAAGCACCGGCUAACUUCGUGCCAGCAGCCGCGGUAAUUC
rnacentral:rRNA from 1 species